UGGGACCUAAAGCUAAUGGCGGCUGGAAAUAAAGUUAUUGAAAAAGUAAAACAGAGUUGCANAUUUGAGAAAAUAAAUUGUGUUUAUCCAUUCAUCCAAAAUCCAGUAACAGCCUCCACAUGGUUCAAGCAAAGAGAUUCCCCAGAAGAACGCUGCAACCAAUAGCUCCUCCCCCCAAGCCGAAGCCAAAACCGUUCCAGCCCAAUAUAUUCAGAAUUAUGGAGUGUGACGACGNUAGCUGCCUCCUAGGCCAAGUGUCCAAAAAUAAUGGGGUGGGGUCCACUCCAAAACCCUAGGUGCCAUGUGUUCAUUUUUACAAUUGGGCUUAAACUAUUCUACCAAAAUUAGCCCANAAUGCAAAGAGUUUGUNUAAAAACUUUAAACAAUUAAAUUUACAAUGUAACUAAAAUUUAAAAUAUCUAAAUUUGAGAGUCUUGAAUUUAUUCGGUGUCCUCCAAAUGUCCCAAAUUGAAUUUCCAAAAUUUUCCCUGAAAAUAAUAAUGCAAAUAAUUAGC
rnacentral:lncRNA from 1 species